CCGAGUUAUACAACUCAUCAACCCUGCGAACAUACCUAAAACGUUGCUUUCGGCGGGAAACAGACGGCCCCUGUAAGCAACGGGCCGCCCCCCGGGCCAGAGGACCCCUAAACUCUGUUUUUUAUAAUGUUUUUUCUGAGUAAAAGUAAACAAGCAAAUAAAUU
rnacentral:misc_RNA from 1 species